rnacentral:lncRNA from 10 species
AAGAAAGAGGAGAACUGAGACUAAGAGGUGGGGACCGGGACCUGCCGGGCAGAAGCCGGGAGGAGGCAGGUGUCCGGGGCCCCGGGGCGGGCUGGAGCCCUCGGCCAGGGAAAGCCGUUGCCUGGCGGAGAGGGGAGCUGAGCAGGGGCGGAGACCGGCCAGAGCGCGCGGGGCGUUGAGGAAGUUCCCUAAGAGUCCUCGUAACCCCCCACCCCAACAAUGAGUCUUUGCGAGGAGGUGGAUCGCGAGGCAGCCGGGUGAGCACGUGCAACGAAGCCCAGCCCUGUGGGCGGGGCCCUGGAGGCGGGGCUUGAAGGUACUCACGUGGGCCUCUCCCUGCCGCUGCGGGACAAAUUGGACCGGAGAUUAAAGGACCGGAGUUUAACUCGAGCACUGAUGAAGUCCACCAGAAGUGAUGGGGAUUCCAGCUCCAUUCUGUCACACACCAGAACCUUAAUCCUUGGCUCCUUCAAGCUGGAACGCGGCUGACUUCACCUGACCCACUCCCAAACUCCUAUUCAUCUUUCAAGAUCCUGUUCAAAUGUUUCUUCAGUGGCAUCUUCCUUAAUACCUUCCACCGAGGGACAACUAGAUCCCCUCUGCUAGGUAGCAGUGUU